GACGAACGCUGGCGGCGUGCUUAACACAUGCAAGUCGAGCGGUAACAGGUGUAGCAAUACAUGCUGACGAGCGGCGAACGGGUGAGUAAUGCUUCGGAAUCUACCCAAUGGUGGGGAAUAACCAGCCGAAAGGUUGGCUAAUACCGCAUACGUCCCACGGGAGAAAGCAGGGGAUCGCAAGACCUUGCGCCAAUGGAUGAGCCGAAGUCGGAUUAGCUAGUUGGUAGGGAACGGCCUACCAAGGCGACGAUCCGUAGCUGGUCUGAGAGGACGACCAGCCACACUGGGACUGAGACACGGCCCAGACUCCUACGGGAGGCAGCAGUGGGGAAUAUUGGACAAUGGGGGAAACCCUGAUCCAGCGACGCCGCGUGUGUGAAGAAGGCCUGCGGGUUGUAAAGCACUUUUAGUGGGGAUGAAAUGUUCAGGGUUAACACCUCUGGAUUUUGACCUAACCCACAAGAAAAGCACCGGCUAACUCUGUGCCAGCCGCCGCU
rnacentral:rRNA from 1 species